rnacentral:lncRNA from 1 species
ACGGAGAGGUAUCUCGAGGCCCACUCGGUAAUACAACAUCACACACAAGUCUUGCAAGCAAUGUGACUUAGUGUAAGUUGCGGGAUCUUGUAUUACGGAACGAGUAAAGAGACUUGCCGGUAAACGAGAUUGAAAUAGGUAUGCGGAUACUGACGAUCGAAUCUCGGGCAAGUAACAUACCGAAGGACAAAGGGAAUGACAUACGG